GGCUCAGGAUAAACGCGGGCGGCGUGCAUGAGACAUGCAAGUCGAACGAACGAGCUUGCUCGUUAGUGGCGAACGGCUGAGUAACGCGUAGGUGACCUGCCCUGAAGUGGGGGAUAACGGCCCGAAAGGGUUGCUAAUACCGCAUGUGGCGAUGUGUUCAUUCACAUCAUCAAAGCCGCGAGGCGCUUCAGGAGGGGCCUGCGUCCGAUUAGCUCGUUGGUGGGGUAACGGCUCACCAAGGCGACGAUCGGUAGGUGGUCUGAGAGGACGAUCACCCAGACUGGGACUGAGACACGGCCCAGACUCCUACGGGAGGCAGCAGUCGGGAAUUUUGCUCAAUGGGGGAAACCCUGAAGCAGCAACGCCGCGUGCGGGAUGAAGGCCUUCGGGUUGUAAACCGCUUUUACCAGGGACGAUAAUGACGGUACCUGAUGAAUAAGUCACGGCUAACUACGUGCCAGCAGCCGCGGUAAUACGUAGGUGACCAGCGUUGUCCGGAUUUACUGGGCGUAAAGAGCGCGCAGGCGGUCCAAUAAGUCGAGUGUGAAAGCCCCCGGCUCAACUGGGGAGGGUCAUUCGAUACUGAUGGACUUGAAGGCAGGAGAGGGAAGCGGAAUUCCCGGUGUAGUGGUGAAAUGCGUAGAUAUCGGGAGGAACACCAGUGGCGAAGGCGGCUUCCUGGCCUGUUCUUGACGCUGAGGCGCGAAAGCUAGGGGAGCAAACGGGAUUAGAUACCCCGGUAGUCCUAGCCGUAAACGAUGGAUACUAGGUGUUGGUGGUAUCAACCCCACCAGUGCCGAAGCUAACGCAUUAAGUAUCCCGCCUGGGGAGUACGGCCGCAAGGCUAAAACUCAAAU
rnacentral:rRNA from 1 species